AGCAGCCGCGGUAAUUCCAGCUCCAAUAGCGUAUAUUAAAGUUGUUGCAGUUAAAAAGCUCGUAGUUGAAUUUCGGGGUUAGUAGGUUGGUCAUGCCUCUGGUAUGUACUGGUCUCACUGAUUCCUCCUUCCUGAUGAGCCGUAAUGCCAUUAAUUUGGUGUUGCGGGGAAUUUGGACUGUUACUUUGAAAAAAUUAGAGUGUUUAAAGCAAGCUAACGCUUGAAUACAUUAGCAUGGAAUAAUGAAAUAGGACGUUCGAUCCUAUUUUGUUGGUUUCUAGGAUUGACGUAAUGAUUAAUAGGGAUAGUUGGGGGCAUUAGUAUUCAAUUGUCAGAGGUGAGAUUCUUGGAUUUAUUGAAGACAAACUACUGCGAAAGCAUUUGCCAAGGAUGUUUUCAUUAAUCAGGAACGAAAGUUAGGGAUCGAAGACGAUCAGGUACCGUCGUAGUCUUAACCAUAAACUAUAGACCGACUAGGGAUCGGUGGAUGUUACUAUUUUGACUUCCAUCGGCACCGUUA
rnacentral:rRNA from 1 species